UACGGAGGGUGCAAGCGUUAUCCGGAUUUACUGGGUUUAAAGGGUGCGUAGGUGGGUCUGUAAGUCAGUGGUGAAAUCUCCGAGCUUAACUCGGAAACUGCCAUUGAUACUAUAGGUCUUGAAUUAUCUGGAGGUAAGCGGAAUAUGUCAUGUAGCGGUGAAAUGCUUAGAUAUGACAUAGAACACCAAUUGCGAAGGCAGCUUACUACGGAUAUAUUGACACUGAGGCACGAAAGCGUGGGGAUCAAACAGG
rnacentral:rRNA from 1 species